AAGAAUUUAAGUUAAAAAAACUCUUAACCUUCAAAGCUAAAAAUAGAGAAACGCCCUCUCUAAUUCUUA
rnacentral:tRNA from 1 species